CGGAAACCAUGGGAGCCACCAUCACUGAGAACACCAUGCCGUGAGAAGAGAGAGCAGGCAAGGGAGGGAGUUCGGCCGCCGCCUCGAUUCUCCAUCCUCACCGCUGAUCGGCAUUCAGAAUCUAGGGCAAAAGGAGCUGGGAGGAAGGUGGAGUGCGCUCGUGUGGGCUACACGCGAAGGGAGCCUGUGAUCGAGUCUGGAUUCCUCAUUGUCGAUGAACGCCGCGGCGCGCUGCAGAGCGACCUUCUCCUGGUCGUGGAAUCAGACGAGCAAGCACCCGAGGAUCUCGGUACUCAACAGGUAGAAAAUACUGAAUAGGAGCUCGUUGAAGGCAAGUUGUGC
rnacentral:misc_RNA from 1 species